GGAGAGAUGCCGGAAUGGCUGAACAGACUUGUCUCGAAAACGAGAGUAGGGGCAACGUUACCAGAGUUUCAAAUCCCCUCUCUCCGCCA
rnacentral:tRNA from 1 species